rnacentral:lncRNA from 1 species
GAAUAACACCUGACUGUUGUUAGUUGUUUACUUUUUCCCUCUUUUCACGACCAAGGUGUGCCUGAGAGGGAAUCUCAACGCCGCAAACUGUACACCGUACGCCGUUAUAGCGACAGUUGACUCGGUGGGUAUGGAACGGGCCGGCGUCAGCGUUUGACACGGUUUCGCCAAGGUGCGGCUGAAGUGUUAGAGCUAAAUGCUGAAAGGCGACGACGCGAACUUGGAAAGGUCAUGUUUUGUAAAGAACUUCUGUACUGACCGAGAUGGAGCCUCAAGGCCAGUCAUCUCUCAAUUUGCUGCAUGCCCGCGUCCUCUCUCUGUGAGGCUCCCAGGGCCUUGGCAUAUGGUGCUGGAAGUUCCUUUUUCCGUUAGAAUGUUGGCCGGUCUCACUUAAUUGGCGCAAAACUUGGGUUAUGCCAUUACGAGGACGAGAGCACCCAUGAAAUUGCCGAAAGCCACUUCUUUCCGCUUUGCUGGCCUGGCCUUGUUGCUUCACUAGGCAAUAAGUAGACCGGUCGUGAGGUGGACGCCUGUGCAAGGAACCGGGGACGCUAACACUCGUAGAGUGCCUCGUGGCGGCAGUAGUCAGGCUGCAAAGGACAUAAAGUACGUAGCGCGAUGUCUAGCAUCCGAGAAUUCGCCUCGUGGAGCAUCGUGCAUCAGAGCACAAACACAGGAGAGAGGAAGUAACUCGAUAGAACAGGCUAUGACUAGUUCUUUAGGGUUAGCCUUGUCAGUCCGUUAACGCAGUCACAAUGACUAGGAGAGGUUACACCAAGGUUUCGUUCAAGACUGAUCCACGAGUUAUAAAUAGCUGAGAAAUGGGCGGUGCCACUUUCACCUGUGCGGGGAGACGAGUGCUCGCAGGUUUUUUCUGCGAAUGAUCUUUGGAGCAAGUACAGUCUGGUGGUUUGAUCAGGAUGCAUCCCGUGGUACAGCAACGGACGACUGUAGCGCACGAAUGAAGAGUGAACGCGGCGGAAACGUCGCAACGUAUUGUGAAGAUGUGUUGGGAUGAUGCAGAUUAUCUAAAAAGGUCGUACUCGUAUGUUGCUGUCGAGGGGAGGCCGUAAAUCGUGCGUAGCAACCGUGUAGCUUUCUGUUGCAAUGUCGGGAGGCGGGUAAAACGGGGCUCCAGUGUCGAUGCUUGUUCCCUCAGUGGUAAAAAAACAUCUGAUUGACAAAGGCGUAAAGUCGUGGCACGUGAAACAGCACCAAUGUAGUAGUUACGUCUCUUCAGAACGAUGUUUUUCGGUUUUUCCACUGGUAGAGGCUGCAAAAAUCGCGGUGUCCAGUUUGUUGCUUCCAAAAAGUGGCGUAUCCAGCUGACGCGAUCUGGAACCGCCCUUCUCUUGUCUGCAGGGGCGACAGUCCGAGCUCUUGCCCGUUGCCGUUGCACAUAUCUCUUGUCAGUGGAGCAAACGCACACCCGUGUUUGCUAAUCUUUCGGAAACAAGGAGCAUGUUUCCAGC